AAGCCCAAAAAUUAUAUUGCAUAGAUUUAGGAAAAAAAAUGAAACCUGGGAAAUUGCAAAUUCCAAUGCUUUUUUAAUUUACCUCGUUCACUUUUCUGUAGCUUUAUUUGAUUUGCAUGGGAAUGGGAGAAUGAGCAUGCAUUUUAGCUUUCAUACUGAGAGACUAAAAGCUGAGUUGUUCUGUAGCUUUAUUUGUUUUGAUUCUUACCAUGGUUUUGACAGAAUUUCGAAACAUUGAUAGUCUCUGCUUGAUCAAAAUCUCUCAGAAGUAUUUAAGGUUCUCCCCUCCCAGAUCUCAGUGGAAUCUUCAUCUAUCUUAGAUUUUGCAUUAUUACAAUUGAAAUUUAUGAACUUUUUGCCUGUUGUGUUUUUGAGUUUGACUUCAUUCUUUUAUCAACUAUCUUUUCCAGUUCCACUUGCUGCCAUUACUUCUUUACUAGGACUUGUGUCUCUCAACAGUGAAGAUGUUAUCCAGAGUGAUUUGAGCUUCCAGAAGUUGUAAGUCGAUCUGUUUUUCUGAUCUUAUAAAAAUUUGGGUUUUCUU
rnacentral:lncRNA from 1 species